GACGAACGCUGGCGGCGUGCUUAACACAUGCAAGUCGAACGGAAAGGCCCUGCUUUUGUGGGGUGCUCGAGUGGCGAACGGGUGAGUAACACGUGAGUAACCUGCCCUUGACUUUGGGAUAACUUCAGGAAACUGGGGCUAAUACCGGAUAGGAGCUCCUGCUGCAUGGUGGGGGUUGGAAAGUUUCGGCGGUUGGGGCUGGACUCGCGGCUUAUCAGCUUGUUGGUGGGGUAGUGGCUUACCAAGGCUUUGACGGGUAGCCGGCCUGAGAGGGUGACCGGCCACAUUGGGACUGAGAUACGGCCCAGACUCCUACUGGAGGCAGCAGUGGGGAAUAUUGCACAAUGGGCGGAAGCCUGAUGCAGCAACGCCGCGUGCGGGAUGACGGCCUUCGGGUUGUAAACCGCUUUCGCCUGUGACGAAGCGUGAGUGACGGUAAUGUGUAAAGAAGCACCGGCUAACUACGUG
rnacentral:rRNA from 1 species